rnacentral:rRNA from 1 species
GGGUUCUACGGUUGGUCGGACUACGUCUGUACUGGCGUGUAGAAUUUCUACCUUCUGGGGAACCAUAAUGUUAUUAAUUUAGCGUGGUGGGAAACCAGAACUUUUAUCUUGAAAAAAUUAGAGUGUUCAAAGCAGGCUUAUGUCUGAAUAUAUUAGCAUGGAAUAAUAAAAUAGGACGGUGGUCCUGUUUUGUUGGUUUCUGAAUCACCGUA